rnacentral:rRNA from 1 species
GAUGAACGCUGGCGGUAUGCUUAACACAUGCAAGUCGAACGGACUCUUCGGAGUUAGUGGCGGACGGGUGAGUAACGCGUGAGAAUCUGGCUUUGGGUUCGGGACAACCACUGGAAACGGUGGCUAAUACCGGAUGUGCCGAGAGGUAAAAGAGAAAUUGCCUGAAGAUGAGCUCGCGUCUGAUUAGCUAGUUGGUGAGGUAAAGGCUCACCAAGGCAGCGAUCAGUAGCUGGUCUGAGAGGAUGACCAGCCACACUGGGACUGAGACACGGCCCAGACUCCUACGGGAGGCAGCAGUGGGGAAUUGUCCGCAGUGGGCGAAAGCCUGACGGAGCAAUACCGCGUGAGGGAAGAAGGCUCUUGGGUUGUAAACCUCUUUUCUUAGGGAAGAACAAAAUGACGGUACCUAAGGAAUCAGCAUCGGCUAACUCCGUG